rnacentral:rRNA from 1 species
CGGCGAGUGAAGCGGCAAAAGCUCAAAUUUGAAAUCUGGCGUCUUUGGCGUCCGAGUUGUAAUUUGAAGAAGGUAUCUUUGGGCCCGGCUCUUGUCUAUGUUCCUUGGAACAGGACGUCACAGAGGGUGAGAAUCCCGUGCGAUGAGAUGACCCGGGUCUGUGUAAAGUUCCUUCGACGAGUCGAGUUGUUUGGGAAUGCAGCUCUAAGUGGGUGGUAAAUUCCAUCUAAAGCUAAAUAUUGGCGAGAGACCGAUAGCGAACAAGUACAGUGAUGGAAAGAUGAAAAGAACUUUGAAAAGAGAGUGAAAAAGUACGUGAAAUUGUUGAAAGGGAAGGGCUUGAGAUCAGACUUGGUAUUUUGCAUGUUGCUCUCUCGGGGGCGGCCGCUGCGGUUUACCGGGCCAGCAUCGGUUUGGAGCGGCAGGAUAAUGGCGGAGGAAUGUGGCACGGCUUCUGCUGUGUGUUAUAGCCUCUGACGAUACUGCCAGCCUAGACCGAGGACUGCGGUUUUUUACCUAGGAUGUUGGCAUAAUGAUCUUAAGUCGCCCGUCUUGAAACACGGACCAAGGAGUCUAACGUCUAUGCGAGUGUUUGGGUGUAAAACCCGUACGCGUAAUGAAAGUGAACGAAGGUGGGGGCCCAUUAGGGUGCACCAUCGACCGAUCCUGAUGUGUUCGGAUGGAUUUGAGUAAGAGCAUAGCUGUUGGGACCCGAAAGAUGGUGAACUAUGCCUGAAUAGGGUGAAGCCAGAGGAAACUCUGGUGGAGGCUCGUAGCGGUUCUGACGUGCAAAUCGAUCGUCGAAUUUGGGUAUAG